GUGGGGAGAAAAGGGGGCCUGGGGCAGCCCAGCCCCACUGUGGGGACCAGGGCUGUGUCCACCAUGGACUGGGCUCCUGUCCUUCUUGUGAUCCUAUCUCAGUGCUCAGGUUCCCUCUCCCAGCCUGUGCUCACUCAGCCGCCCACCCUCUCUGAGUCCCCGGGAGCAUCAGCCAGACUCACCUGUACCCUGAGCAGUGACAUCAGUGUUGGUAGCUAUUCAAUAUCCUGGUACCAUCAAAAGCCAGAACACCCUCCCCACUAUCUCCUGAGAUACUACUCAGAUUCAGAUAAGAACCAGGGCUCUGGGGUCCCCAGCCGCUUCUCUGGAUCUAAGGAUACGUCGACCAAUGCAGGGAUCCUGCACAUCUCUGGGCUGCAGGCCGAGGACGAGGCUGAUUACUACUGUGCCAUAUGGUACAACAGUGCUUCUCACAGUGACACACACAAUUAG